rnacentral:snoRNA from 1 species
GAAGCAGGUGAUGACAAUCAGACAGGGACAUUAGAGCCAUCUAAUGGUUAUGAUAGACCAAGUCUAUAAUGGGAAUCUUUCUUAUGUUUA